rnacentral:sRNA from 1 species
AGUGCCAGGCGGGAGGCGGCAGCGGUUGGAGGCUUCGCCCGGCUUUGCAGCGGGGACUUCGGCGGCGGCGCCUCAGGCACCUCGGCCCGGACACGAUGAGGCGAGUGGAAGUCUGACCUUUUCCAAGAUGACCUGUAUCCUGACACAGCGGGGCCAGAGGCCGCGCUGGAGGCAGAAGAGUGGUUCGAAGGCAAGAAUGCAGACCCAAUCCUCAUCUCCUUGAAGCACGGGUACAUUCCAGGCAAAAACAGGGAUCUCAAGGUGGUCAAGAAGAACAUUCUGGAUAGCAAGCCCACUGCAAACAAGAAGUGUGACCUGAUCAGCGUCCCCAAGAAAACCACAGACACGGCCAGUGUGCAAAAUGAAGCCAAGUUGGAUGAGAUUUUAAAAGAGAUCAAAUCUAUAAAAGACACAAUCUGCAAUCAAGAUGAGCGUAUUUCCAAGUUAGAACAGCAGAUGGCAAAGAUAGCAGCCUGAAGGUCCCACCCCCACCCCUACAGAAAAAAUGGGAGCAAGAACUUGUGCUUGGGAGCUGGUUGUUGGUGUGGUCCUAGGGAGGGCGGAAAGGGAGGCACUGCCAUUUGGAGACAUUCCAUUUCAGAUUUGUCAACCAGCGAUAGGCCACAUUCCAGUAAGAACUCAAUUUGUCUCCCAAAUUUGCAGAAACAAAACGUGAUUUAAAAGCUGAGCUUUUUAUCAGAAAGCUUUUUUGAUGUUUUAAGUGUCAUGUGACUUGUUGAACUUUUUAAAAAGUGCUACUUUUAAAAUCCCAGAUACUCUGAAUUUUAGAAAACAAACUAAUUCUGAUUGUGUCGUGCCCAAGUACCCUUUUUUUUUAAUGAAUAGGGACCAAUGCCACAUUACUUUUUAUAUUUCUUUCUUUUUUAAUG